CCUACGGGUGGCAGCAGUGAGGAAUAUUGGUCAAUGGCCGGAAGGCUGAACCAGCCAAGCAGCGUGAAGGACGAAUGUGCCACGCAUUGUAAACUUCUUUUGUCAAGGGACAAAAUCAGGCUCGAGAGCCUGACCGAGGGUACUUGAAGAAAAAGCAUCGGCUAACUCCGUGCCAGCCGCCGCGGUAAUACGGAGGAUGCGAGCGUUAUCCGGGUUUAUUGGGUUUAAAGGGAGCGUAGGGGGGGUGUUAAGUCAGGUGGGAAAGGGCCGGGGUUAAACGUGGCGGUGCCGUUGAUACUGGCUGUCUUGAGAUGUCGAGAGGUAUGCGGAAUGCGCAGUGUAGCGGUGAAAUGCUUAGAUAUUGCGAAGAACUCCGAUUGCGAAGGCAGCAUACCAACGGCGAUCUGACGCUGAGGCACGAAAGCGUGGGUAUCGAACAGGAUUAGAUACCCUUGUAGUC
rnacentral:rRNA from 1 species